GGGGAUUUAGCUCAGUGGUAGAGCGCUUGCCUAGCAAGCACAAGGACCUGGGUUCGGUCCCCAGCUCUG
rnacentral:tRNA from 1 species